GACGAACGCUGGCGGCGUGCUUAACACAUGCAAGUCGAACGGAAAGGCCCUGCUUUUGUGGGGUGCUCGAGUGGCGAACGGGUGAGUAACACGUGAGUAACCUGCCCUUGACUUUGGGAUAACUUCAGGAAACUGGGGCUAAUACCGGAUAGGAGCUCCUGCUGCAUGGUGGGGGUUGGAAAGUUUCGGCGGUUGGGGAUGGACUCGCGGCUUAUCAGCUUGUUGGUGGGGUAGUGGCUUACCAAGGCUUUGACGGGUAGCCGGCCUGAGAGGGUGACCGGCCACAUUGGGACUGAGAUACGGCCCAGACUCCUACGGGAGGCAGCAGUGGGGAAUAUGGCACAAUGGGCGGAAGCCUGAGGCAGCAACGCCGCGUGCGGGAUGACGGCCUUCGGGUUGUAAACCGCUUUCGCCUGUGACGAAGCGUGAGUGAUGGUAAUGGGGAAAGAAGCACCGGCUAACUACGU
rnacentral:rRNA from 1 species